rnacentral:rRNA from 1 species
GGCAUGCGCGGCUACACAUGCAGUCGAGCGGUACAGGGAGAAUCUUGCUUCUCUUUGACGAGCGACGGAUGGGUGAGUAAUGUGUGGGGAUCUGCCCGAGAGGGAGGGAUAACUACAGCGGACGCUGGCUCAGACCGCAUAAUCUCUUAGGAGCAGAGCAGACGAACUUCCGUCCUUUCGCUAUCGAAUGAACCCCUAUGGGAUUAGCUAGUAGGUGGGGUGAUGACUCACGUAAGCAACCAUACCUAGCUGGACUGAAAGAAUAAUCACCCUCACUGUGACAGAGACACGGCACACACACCUACGGGAGGCAUCAGUGGGGAAUAUUGCAGAAUGAGCGCAAGCCUGAGGCAUGCCUGCCGCGUGUAUAAAGAAAGCGCAAUGGUUGUAAAGUACUUUUAGUCGGGAGGAAAGCGUUGAUGCUAAUAUCAUCUUCGAUUGUCGUUACCGACUGAACAAGCGCCGGCUAACUCCGUGCCACCACCCGCGGUAAUACGGAGGGUGCGAGCGUUAAUCUUAAUUACUGUGCGUAUAGCGCACGCAGGCGGUUGAUUAGGUUGUAUGUGAAAUCGCCGGGCUCAGCCUGGGGAUGGCAUCUCAAACUGGUCAGCUAGAGUCUUGUGGAGGGGGGGUAUAAUUCCAUGUGUAUCGCUGAAAUGCGUAUAGAUGUGGAGGAAUAUCGGUGGCGAAAGCGGCCCCCCUGGACACAGACAGACACUCACGUGCGAAAGCGUGGGGAGCACACAUGAUUAAAUACCCUGGUAAUCCACGCUGUAAACGAUAUCUAUUUGUAGGUUGUGUCCUUUAGACGUGGCUUCCGGAACUCACGCGUUAAAUCGACCGCCUGGGGAGUACCGCCCGCAAGGUUAAAACUCUAAUUAAAUUGACGGGGGGCCCCCACAAACGG